AUAUCCUCAUGGGACGUGGCCGGUCCACUGCGUCCGGAGUGUAGCCGCACCGGGUACCAUCACCUCGGCUCCAUCCCACUUUCAAUAAUUACCCACUACAAUGUACAUGUUGUACACAUGAAAACGGCCAAAUGUUCGGAUAUCCGAAAUCAAUGCUUGAAGCGUCGGAUUGAUGAAAAUUCAAUAGAAUCCUGUUUUAAAAUUUGUAUUCCUUCCCUUUCUGGAAGUACAUGCCGUACAUUUACGUAUACAAAACGUUGUGUACCAGUUUAUUUAACGUUUAAAGUUUUGUAACCCGUUCUUCUUUGACUUCUUCGGAAUGUUCUAAAACCCUCGCCCUCCGUUCGUAUACUGGAUUCUCAAAUACGACCAAUCAGGGGUAAAUACCCCUGUAUAAGUGUAAACCAUGGACAUGCGGACUUUGUAUCUCUUGCUAGUACUCCUCAUCGCUAAACUGACGCCUGCUACCGCUGAAGAAGUCGGUAAGGGAAUGGUCUCUGAACACCAUGCCAUAAGUCAAGCGCAAGCAACUUACAAUGUGAAGAAAGAUGACACCAAGGAAGCAAGAAACAUUGUAAAGGAGAUUAUGGGUGGGCCCGAAAAAUUCAAGAGCGGAUUAAAGAAAAAGAUCAUGAUAAAAGGCGUUGCAUAAAAUGUUAGUUGUGACGUGCAGAUGUGACAGAACACAUAUAAGACCAGUCAUUUUCCUCUCGUCUAUCGUGUUAUUGGCCAAAUCUACCAAUUGAUUAUAUGGCAAGGGGCGUGGACGAGACAGUAGGAUAGAACGACAUUGCGUUGGCGAAAAACGAUGUGCAAUCAGCCGCGGGACUUUUUUAGUCAGGUGUAAUAGUUUUGAAUGUCCUGGGAAAGAAUGUUUUGGGACAAGGGAUUCUGUAAUGCGCUUUUAAUCUCUGAGGUAAUCAAGGUCACGGGUCUCUAUCGAACCACACUUUAAUCAAUCACCAUGCAAAAACAAACAUACAUUCAAGGCAACUGCUACACCGGAAAUUAACGUUUACCAUUUCAAUUUCAAUUUAUUCUGUAUAAUACCAUUCGGUUAUGAGAGAGGUGUUUAAGCAAGACAUACAAUGUACAGUGCCAUAUGCAAA